rnacentral:rRNA from 1 species
CAGUAGCCGCGGUAAAACGUAGGUGGCAAGCGUUGUCCGGAAUUAUUGGGCGUAAAGGGCUCGCAGGCGGUUUCUUAAGUCUGAUGUGAAAGCCCCCGGCUCAACCGGGGAGGGUCAUUGGGAACUGGGAAACUUGAGUGCAGAAGAGGAGAGUGGAAUUCCACGUGUAGCGGUGAAAUGCGUAGAGAUGUGGAGGAACACCAGUGGCGAAGGCGACUCUCUGGUCUGUAACUGACGCUGAGGAGCGAAAGCGUGGGGAGCGAACAGGAUUAGAUACCCCAGUAGUCCCUGUCUCUUAUAC